GAUGAACGCUGGCGGCGUGCCUAAUACAUGCAAGUCGAGCGAACGGACGAGAAGCUUGCUUCUCUGAUGUUAGCGGCGGACGGGUGAGUAACACGUGGAUAACCUACCUAUAAGACUGGGAUAACUUCGGGAAACCGGAGUUAAUACCGGAUAAUAUUUUGAACCGCAUGGUUCAAAAGUGAAAGACGGUCUUGCUGUCACUUAUAGAUGGAUCCGCGCUGCAUUAGCUAGUUGGUAAGGUAACGGCUUACCAAGGCAACGAUGCAUAGCCGACCUGAGAGGGUGAUCGGCCACACUGGAACUGAGACACGUUCCAGACUCCUACGGGAGGCAGCAGUAGGGAAUCUUCCGCAAUGGGCGAAAGCCUGACGGAGCAACGCCGCGUGAGUGAUGAAGGUCUUCGAUCGUAAAACUCUGUUAUUAGGGAAGAACAUAUGUGUAAGUAACUGUGCACAUCUUGACGGUACCUAAUCAGAAAGCCACGGCUAACUACGUG
rnacentral:rRNA from 1 species